CACGUAGGGGGCAAGCGUUGUCCGGAUUUAUUGGGCGUAAAGAGCUCGUAGGUGGUUCGGUAAGUCGGGUGUUAAACCCCCAGGCUCAACCUGGGGACGCCACUCGAUACUGCUGUGACUAGAGUCCGGUAGGGGAGCGUGGAAUUCCUGGUGUAGCGGGUGAAAUGCGCAGAUAUCAGGAGGAACACCAGCGGCGAAGGCGGCGCUCUGGGCCGGUACUGACACUGAGGAGCGAAAGCGUGGGUAGCAAACAGG
rnacentral:rRNA from 1 species